AACGCACGAGACCUGCGGACCUGCGGAGGGAUCAUUAUCGAUUCUGAAGGAUGUGCUGGUUUAAUUACAUGUGCACUCCGAAAUCUUAUCCACCUGUGAACCUAUAGUAGUCAUUGGCAGAGAAGGGUUCGUCCCUUUAAAGUCUUUGAUUACGUUUUUAUACACUCUUAAUAAUUUAAAGAAUGUUUAAUUGACUUGAUUAAACCCAAGUUAAAAAUCUAAAACAACUUUUAACAACGG
rnacentral:misc_RNA from 1 species